rfam:Picea glauca, whole genome shotgun sequence.
GGGUGUGAUCAUACCAGCGUUAAUGCACCGGAUCACAUCAGAAUUCUGCAGUUAAGCGUGCUUGGGCUAGAGUAGUACUGGGAUGGGCGACCUCCCGGGAAGUCCUAGUGUUUCCCCCU